rnacentral:rRNA from 1 species
AUGGCUGGGGAAAUAAACGAGGUGAAGCUGCUGGGGAUGUGGGCGAGCCCGUACAUGGCGAGAGUGAAGCUGGCGCUUCACAUCAAGGACGUGAGCUACGAAUACGUCGAGGAGGACCUCACCAACAAGAGCGAGCUGCUCCUCCGCUCCAACCCCGUCCGCAACAUGGUGCCCGUGCUCAUCCACGACGGGAAGCCCAUCUGCGAGCCGCAGGUCAUCAUCCAGUACAUUGAUGAGGCCUUCGCCCCCGCUGGCAAGGCCCUCCUCCCCGCCGACCUCUACGAGCGCGCCGUGGCCCGCUUCUGGGCCGCCUACAUCGACGACAAGGUGCUGCCGCCGUGGGAAAUGAUCUUGAAGGCAAAGACGGACGAGGAGAGGGCGGAGUGGGCGAAACAGACCUUUGGAGCGAUGGAUGCGCUGGAGGACGGAUUCAGGAAGUGCUCCAUGGGCAAGGGGUUCUUCGGUGGCGAUGACGUCGGCUACCUCGACGUCCUUCUCGGGGGCAUGGUCCCGUGGCUGCGACCGAUCGAGAAGAUCUCUGGCCACAACUUCUUUGAUGCCAGCAAGGUGCCGCUGCUAGCGGCAUGGGUGGAGCGUUUUGUCGAUCUUGACGCCGCCAAGGCGGUGUUCCAGGAGCAGGACGUGGACAGCCUGGUUGAAUUCGCUCGGAUGGUACAACCGGUAGGCAUGGCGACCUGCUCCGUUGGGUGA